rnacentral:lncRNA from 1 species
CGUCAUUUCAUUGUUUUCCUGUCUCUAGCUGUCCGGGUGCUGGGCUGGUGCAUACUGAGCAGGUUUUUCCGGGUUUGGGAAAUGUGCUUCCAAUUCACUCCUGUGGCGCUGUCAUGAAGUUUUGUUUCCCACUGUGGACUGCUCCAGAGAGCUGCUCGCAACUGGGCAGCUGGCUUCCCCAAGCGUGAGUAAUCCAAGAGAAAGAGAGAGCGAUCAAGAUGGAAGCCACGGAGAAUCCCAUCAACAUCCCAGAGGAACACAGGAUUUCAAGGUUCCAGGGAAGGAGUACUUGCUUCUGGCUGGAGACAUUAAGGAAGAAUUUCCUGUGAAACUUGCAUUUGAGUUGCGUCCUGGAGGAUGAGUAUGAUUUAGACAAAUGGUGAUGGGAAAGGAAGAAGAACUCAGGCAAAGGAAGGGCCUUGCGCAAAGGCAGCAUGUGGAUAG